CUCUCAAUUCUCAAUACCUAUUUUCUCUUUUUCCCUAGUAAAAAAAGGUUUGGAACGUUCCCAGCUUCUCUUGCAGCUAGAUGUAGCCACGUAACAAAUACUGCAAAGGAGAUGAAAGCAAAAGAGAUCUGUGCAACUUCUGGUUUGUGUCUACCCCUCCCCACCUCCUUCCAGCUGAUGGAAUAUUCACAGAAGAUGCAGUGACCCAACUCUGACCAUGCAGAUGAGGGCAACAGCCUGGGAGCAUAUGAGGACACACCAAGAAGGCAGAGAUCUUGCUACCCAGAAAGAGAGCUCUCACCAGAAACUGACUCCACUGGAUGUUAAUCUUGAAUUUGGAGGCUCCAGAACUAUGUGAAAAAAAAUCCACUUCUGUUGUUUGAAAUACCUGGCCUGUGGUAUUUUGUUACAGCAGCCUGAGUUGACUAAUACGCUAGAAAAACA
rnacentral:lncRNA from 1 species